AAGAAAAACCAAGUUAGUUUUUUUUUAAGAAGUUGGUGGUGCAUAGAACUAUCUAAGCCAAAUCUUCAAGCAGCAGCAAAUGAUAUGUGAUCAAGAGGAUAAAGUACGUAUUUAACAACUUUUCUGAUCAGGAAAAUUAUUGCAACCAAAUCAAGCACACCACUACUCUAAGAACAGUAGCAUACUUUUAGCAGCAAACUAACUUGCAUUGUCAUGAAAACUAUAAUUCCAUUUCCUCCCUGAUUGAUACAAGAAUAAGCAUAAGCAUUAUCAAUGUAAAAUCCUGACUUUUGAAAUUUUAGCCACAUGGUCCAAAUAGGAACUCGACACUUUAAUUUAAUUCUAAUAGUAAAUUAGGCUACGCGAGGUGUAUCGUGGUCCAAAUAAACAUGUGAAUCCCAAUUUAAUUUUGUAACUACUGGAGUAUGAGACAAUUGAGUUACAUCUAAUACACGGUAUGAGUUACGCGACGUUGGAAUCUUUCCUUUAAAAUCGGACACCACCACAAUAAUCCUCGUAUUUUUAUUAGUCUAUGUUGAAUUUCUGAGAUUUUUCGGAGACCGAAAUCUGAACGCGUUCAAACAGAAUUUGCGACGAGGUUAAGAAGAAUUUACAUGUGUCGUGGAAAGAAAGAGAGCAGAGUAUCCUCACCUGUUUCAGCCUAACACAACCGUUAUAUAUAGUCUAUUUAAUUGACCUUACAAAACAAAACAAAAGCAACUAGAAUAAAUUCAACUUCUGGGAUUACAUCGACAUCUCGCCGCUUGCCGGGAAAACUUUCCUCGCCAGAUUCUCUUCCUCUCUCUUGGUACAAGUUCAAUGGAUAAACCGCAAGCGUAAUGAGCUAGACACUUCGUUAGUUUCGCAGUUAUAUGCUUCCCAGCAUCACCUGCUCACUGGUUUAUGAGUGUUCUAUUGAAUGGUAAGAAUUUUGGGUCAUGGGGUCGCUCUCUUCAUCUAUUUCUUGGCGGUAAAGGCAAAUUUGGUCGGCUUCUUGAGACUAAACAACAACCAGCAGCCAAGGAUCCCAAACGUGCUUGAUGGGAUAUUGACAACUGCACUAUUUUGGGUCAACCAACCAGACCGGGAUGUCUCUAACGGGUUUGUUCAUGUGCAGAAUAUUGAAGUUGAUUAGGGGAUAUCAUUCUAUCUAAUUGGUGGCGGCAAAAGGCAAUCAACUCAAACAAAAAGUGUAGGACCAGAGGAAAACGGUUCUCACAGGGAUUCAAGCCAGCAAAUGACCAAUAGCUGAAAAUUCAAUAGGUUAAUUAGGCAGCUGGGAGAUGAGCUGAUGAGAGUUAACUUCUUGUGUACGUUGUAAUAUUUUGUUUGGUUUUUGGAUAAAUUGAGUGCGAGAGAAGAGAGAGAAGGGGGAAGGGAGAGAAAAAUUGUGUGUGAGAAAGAGGGCUGGUGAGAGAAGUGGGCUUGUAAUUUUGUACUUCUUGUGGUAACAAGAAUUCGGUUGAGUGUGAUUUCUCAGUAUGUUUGAGCUGGAGAAAACUAAUUCCCAACAUAAAACUAUGUGAGUUGGGACUUGAGACUUGAUCGAUCAUACUCAUUCAAUGAAUUGUUCAUAUACUCACCAAGUGAA